GAUGAACGCUGGCGGCGUGCCUAAUACAUGCAAGUCGAGCGAAUGAUGAGGAGCUUGCUCCUCUGAUUUAGCGGCGGACGGGUGAGUAACACGUGGGUAACCUGCCUGUAAGAUGGGGAUAACUCCGGGAAACCGGGGCUAAUACCGAAUAAUAAAAGAAGAAGCAUUUCUUCUUUUUGAAAGUUGGUUUCGGCUAACACUUACAGAUGGGCCCGCGGCGCAUUAGCUAGUUGGUGAGGUAACGGCUCACCAAGGCGACGAUGCGUAGCCGACCUGGGAGGGUGAUCGGCCACACUGGGACUGAGACACGGCCCAGACUCCUACGGGAGGCAGCAGUAGGGAAUCUUCGGCAAUGGGCGAAAGCCUGACCGAGCAACGCCGCGUGAGCGAGGAAGGCCUUCGGGUCGUAAAGCUCUGUUGUCAGGGAAGAACAAGUACGAGAGUAACUGCUCGUACCUUGACGGUACCUGACCAGAAAGCCACGGCUAACUCCGUGCCAGCCGCCGCGGUAACAC
rnacentral:rRNA from 1 species